rnacentral:rRNA from 1 species
GACGUAGGGCGCGAGCGUUGUCCGGAUUUAUUGGGCGUAAAGAGCUCGUAGGUGGCUUGUCGCGUCGUCCGUGAAAACCCACAGCUCAACUGUGGGCUUGCGGUCGAUACGGGCAGGCUAGAGUUCGGUAGGGGAGACUGGAAUUCCUGGUGUAGCGGUGAAAUGCGCAGAUAUCAGGAGGAACGCCGGGGGCGAAGGCGGGUCUCCGGGCCGAUACUGACGCUGAGGAGCGAAAGCGUGGGGAGCGAACAGG